UACGUAGGACCCAAGCGUUAUCCGGAGUGACUGGGCGUAAAGAGUUGCGUAGGUGGAUAGUAAAGUGAAUAGUGAAAUCUGGUGGCUCAACCAUACAGGCUAUUAUUCAAACUCACUAUCUCGAGAACAGCAGAGGUAACUGGAAUUUCUGAAGUAGGGGUAAUAUCCGUAGAUAUCAGAAGGAACACCAAUGGCGUAGGCAGGUUACUGGGCUGCUUCUGACACUGAGGCACGAAAGCGUGGGGAGCGAACCGG
rnacentral:rRNA from 1 species